CUUAGCUUUCCUUUGUAAAAGUAUUCUGUUACACUUGUUCCACACUUGAAUGUGGGGCAGAAAUUAUGGUACUAAGUAUCUCAGAGAUAUAUAGGAAGUCUACAUAAAUAGAUGAUUUAUAAUGGUAUUUUUUCUCCCUCAAUCUAGUGGAAGCUGUUGCUGCCCUGGGGAACAAAGUCGUGGAAAGUUUAAGAGCACAGGAUCCAUCUGAAGGUUUGAAUUUAUUGCUUAAUAUAUAUUGAGUGGCAGUAGGAGCCAGGUCCUGUAAUCAUACUUUCAACAAAAUUAGGUCAGACUAGAUUGAGUAAAUGCAGUUUCAUGUUGUAGGAGUUUUUGGAAGGGGUUUGAAAUUCCAUUUUAUCUCCUUUCUAAAGCUCUGUAUUUUGAAUCCUUAGUCUGAACUCUGGUUUUUAAAUGCCCACCUGUUUCCCACAGGAAUGAUUUAACUUUGAUCAUCUGAUGAAAAUGUGAAUUACAACUUUUGAUUAUUUUGUUCUUUUAGUUUUGACCAUGCUGACCAAUGAAACUGGUUUUGAAAUCAGUUCUUCUGAUGCUACAGUGAAGAUUCUCAUUACGACAGUGCCACCCAAUCUCCGAAAACUGGACCCGGAACUCCACUGUUAGUCCUUUUUUCCAUUGCUGAAAAGUGUGGGGGAAAUAAAAUGCAUGGUAUCUUUGCUGAGUUUUUUUAUUUCAUAGGAAGCUUUCUGGAAAUUGAAGGACUUAAGUUUACCCUGUACUUUGGAAAUAACUUUACAAGCUUCCUAGUGAAAUUUUCAAAGAUAGGAUAGCCAGGAAGAAAAUUUGGAACAAUUAAAAAGGAUGGUGGAAAUAUUUGUGAAGAAAGGAGGAUAGAUUUUUGGAGAAUAUCAGAUCUUGCAUGCUUCUAGAUUUAGUUUGGAAUAGGUGUAAUAAUUUUGGAAUAAGUGACUUGCUGAUCUGAGGAACAUGAGAUGGUUUAACAAAAUUGUUAAAAAUUAGCUUGCUUCUCCUUCUAAGUUUCUGAACCAUGGUGGUGGCAGGACUGGAUUGCUUGCUUAAUACCAGGAUUGUUUCACGUUGGUCUGUCAUGCUUUAUCUAGUGGAUAUCAAGGUGUUGCAGAGUGCUUUAGCAGCCAUCCGACAUGCCCGCUGGUUCGAGGAAAAUGCUUCUCAGUCCACGUGAGUCGGUCUCUGGUCAUUUUCAGAUAACCUUUCUAACUGAAUAGCAGGAUUUCCCCAUACUUCCUCUGAUAGAACUGUUUUGGCCAUGAUCUGUUGGAUUUUCAUUUUUACUUUAAGCAAAUUAAGAUUGAAAGAAGAGCACAUGCGGUUUUAUAAAUAGUAUAGUCAGCUUCAACUCUACCUCAGGUGUGGAAAUGUGAUCUUAUUACCUUUUUUUGUGGGGUGGGCUACCAGGGAUUGAAUUCAGGGGCAUUUGAUACUAAGCCACAUCCCCAGCCCUAUUUUAUAUUUUAUUUAGAGACAGGGUCUCACAGAGUUGCUUAGUACCUCGCUUUUUCUGAGGCUGGCUUUGAACUCUAGAUCCUCCUGUCUCAGCCUCCAGAGUUAAUGGGAUUACAGGCGUGCACCAUUUUGCCCAGCAGUGAUGUUAACUACUUUUAAUCCUUGGAUCUCUUUUACAUUCAGAGUUAAAGUUCUCAUCAGACUGCUCAAGGACUUAAGGAUUCGUUUUCCUGGCUUUGAGCCCCUCACACCCUGGAUCCUUGACCUACUUGUAAGUAAACAAGGACAAUAGGAAUUCCUACGCAUUCAUAUUGGUAGUACUUACUGUGAAACCUACCAGAAUCUGAAAUUCAGUAAAGCUUAAAAAGAAAUUCAGUGGACAGGCGAUCUAGUAGAUUCAAAGUUUA
rnacentral:lncRNA from 1 species